rnacentral:lncRNA from 13 species
GAUGUUUUUUGCUCCAUAAAUAUCAGCAGAGUUACUGUAGAAGUUGCUGGCCUAGAUAGCUACUGUAGAAGUGGCUGGCCUAGAUAGCUACUGUAAGCUUCUCUGGAUGUUUUGAAUUUGUUUCCUUCCAAUGAACGAGAAGAAUGGGGCUUCGCCAAAAAAGUAGUCUCUAAUCUACAUAAUAGCACACUACUUAGAUUGAACCAAUGUAUUGGGAAUGCUAACGUGUUAUGCUAGCAUGGACACUGGAAAUAGCUAGUGUGUAGCACAUGUACAGGACUAAAUGAUUGCACUCAUUCAUUCUCUCAAGUGUAGUCUAUGGUCAGCCUUGAUACAUUAACCACCCUUAGUUUGGCUAAUGUAUCAGAGUGGAAUGAAGGCCGAAAGAUCCCUAAAGUGAAGUUGCUCUAAGAGACGAGAAUUUUGCCACAGAUGCUUUUCAAACUCUUCCCUCCAGCCAGUCACAAGUCCACCAGAGGGAGCACAACAAAAGGUUGGAGAGUGCAGAUCUCCACUUUCCAGGGUUCAACUCUGUUGACCAUAAUCCUAGUGACAAGCAACACAAGGGAGUCAAGCUCAGCCCAGAUCAAUCUUUUGGCCAGCUGCUCCAGUGCAUCAUGGGACUCUGGCUCCCUAUUGAUGUGGAUCCCCAAUCCCCAACACAUCCUUCAGAGCCACGCCCAAAAUAGGUCACAUGAUUUAUUGUAUUUGAUGUGGAUUUUAUCUUUAUUUUUCGUCAUAUCAGUCACUUAAUGUUGUACUUUUUAUGUUAUAGCCCUAGACCUUAGAUUGUAUUGUUUGCUUACAACGUAACCUUCUUUUUAGGCAUUAAACUUGGCAGAUAUGCAGAUUUGUGUCAACUUGCCUUUUUGUACACAUGCCUAAACUGUCAAGGAGCUAAUUUGCCUUCUGUCCUGAAAAACCUCCAAAGUGGUGAGUACCAUAUAUUCACUGGUUUCAUAAAUUGUAUGUGGCAGGUUAUUUAUCUUUGUAUUACAUUAUUGUCAAUGAAAACACAUUGUUUACCAGUUACAUUUACUCAUCUAUAUUGUGUGUUAUAGAACAGAAAGAAGUCCAAGAAUGUGUGGAAGAGGGUGCUGUUCCAGCUGACACCAUUGACGUCACAGCUGAGAAGUGAGCAUGGGUUGGGCUCCCUAGUGGCACAGCAAGCUGUCCACCCAAAAGACCUUGUCCUGGCCAAGCCUCACACUGACCCCCAGAGGGUGGAGGAGGAUGCUGGUAGGGCCCAGGCCCAGAACCAGGAGCUCCUGUCAUUGUAGGCUAGCCCAGAGGCCCAGACCCAGGCCCAAACAUGCCCCCCCCCCCCCAGCACCCAGGGUCCCCAGUGCUUACCUCCUCAGGAACAAGCCUCUGGUGUUCCACAGUGUUAGGGAGAGGGUGCUGAGGUGACACACCCAGCAGGAUCGCUCAACAUACAAACUGGACAGCAAGGUCACUCAUACUGUCAUAGUACUGCCCCAUGGCAUUCUUUUGUAUCUCGAAGUAUGGCUGACCUAUGAUCUGACUGGUCAUUAAAAGGGGUGUCUCCAUUGCUCUCUGAGUGCAAUGGAAUGCGUAGAGUACAUGUAACUAACAGGCGUGAAACCUGCUGCUGCCUCUCAGUUCUUAUUCAUCAGGCUUGUUGAGAGAUGGGAAAAACCCUGAUUUGGCUCCACAUGUCUAGCAAUGAGGGAGAGUCACGGGAGAGUGAAACUGGGCAUUGGUUCUGAAGAUGCGGGCCCUGAUAGCUCCUAUUACAGUGAGCUUUUCUGCCUAGUUUUAUAACUGUUUAUUUUCUGUUUUCCAACAUCUCAUGUAGAGAGUGGUCAGUGGUCACGUACUUCCUUGAUUAUCCAUGCUUUAGGAAGAAUGUAAGAUUUUUUUUGUUUUUUUGUUACAGCUGUUCAUAAACAAAUGAAUUACAGAAUGUCAACUUAACUGAAUGUUUUCAAAAUAUACUGUCUAGGAUGUAUGCUUCUUGUGGACAACACUUGUCUAUCGUAAUGUCCUGUUGGUGUGUGUAACGAGGAGAGGAACUGCUAUGUCAUAGGAUUUAGUUUAGUCAAUGAAAAUAAACAAAUGUUUGUAGUGUUCCACUUGAAUAAGGUAAUUCUGGUAACCCAUGUUUUGUUUGAGAAUAAUAGAAGAAAAGGAAACACACUUAUGUCUUCAUAGCUCUUACACUAGACUGGAGGGGAUGGCAUUGACUGGGAUAGGUCGGUCUUCUCAGACUAUCUGUGGAGAAAGCACAACCUUCCGCCCAACUGGGACAGAGAAAAGCCAUCGAUCCCCAGAAGACACAACUGUGGGAUGGCUUUGGCUUCUACCCCAUCCCUAAGGCCAUGCUCCAUCACCACCCCAGGAUCCCUCUGUCCGUAGGUAACACUGGAGCUCUAGGCUGCAUAUGCAUGCAGGCCAGGAGGCUUUGCUAUGCUGUCACAGAGAUGCUUACCGAUUUGUAGAUCUGACAAUGAAUGGAUUAAGUUGAUCAAAGAUUAGCUCGUUUGUAACAAACAUAUAAAUACAUUCAGCAUGAACCAAUCAAGGUUUAUCCUUGCAUGUCCUCUAAGCACCAUCGUGCCUUACAAUUCCAUGAUUUUCCUUCAGGACACAGCUUCGACAGAUGUGGUCAGUAUAUCAUGUGGCAGACCAGGGGGUUAGGUCAAAACGUUUACACAGAUCAGACACGGACAGAGUAGGAUUAGCUCAGUUUCAAAGGUGUUUAUUAAAAUAAUAGUCCAAAC